GUGAACGUUACUCAACGGAGCUCUGUGAUUGGUCAAACGGGAAGACCGUCAGACUCCUCCCACACUGCCACGGCAACUCGACGGAGUCAAGCAAGUCAGCCGUGCAACGGGCACAGUUUUUUCGGGAGAAUUAUCCAAACCAAGGCCCCGAGAAGAGCCCCGACAUGAGUCCGUUCAAGGAGCGCUUCGUGACUCUGCUCCACGAGAAGAACUUUGUCACGGACCAGUUGGCGACGCUGGAAACCAAAACCGGAGUGAAGAGGGAGUACAUCGCCCUGGGUUUUCUGGGUUUCCUCGGGCUGUAUCUCCUGUUUGGAUAUGGAGCCUCGCUGCUCUGCAACCUCAUCGGCUUUGCCUAUCCAUCGUAUUUCUCCAUCAAGGCCAUCGAGAGCAAAGUGAAGGACGAUGACACCCAGUGGCUCACCUACUGGGUCGUCUAUGGAUUCUUCAGCAUCAUCGAGGCUUUCUCCGACAUCUUCCUCUUCUGGUUUCCCUUUUACUAUAUUGGCAAGGUAGGCUGGCACGUUUUUUUAAUGUUUAUUUAUUUAUUUUUUAAAUUUUAUUUUAAACUUACAUUGUCAUCUGCUUUGACUGUGAACACUGCAGACGUCCUGAUGUGUUGGCUCUAUGAUUUCGGGCCUCUGUACAUUGCAGCUGGCCAACAGCGCCCUCUUGUGGACAGUUUGUGUAAUGUCAACAUGAGGAAAUGUACCAGUUUUUAAAAAUACACGUGUUCACGCUGUAAACGUGACUAAAUAAAAGGCUUAUAUCCUUGAUGAGCUUUUUGGUGGACACUAUUGUCCCUAAAUGCAGCGUACAAAGGAAUGUGUACCACUUGAGGUAGAUACUUGUAUUUGAUGCACUUGCAUGAUUGAUUCUACCACCUUUUUGGGCUUGUUCCCACAUGUUUGAAUGCACUUAUUGCAAGUCACAAUUACCUUUUGGAUAAAAGCAUCAGAUGUAAUGUAAACGUGCUGCAACACAGAUGCUGUUCUGGAAACAUUGGACAACAACAACAACAAAGCUGUACUAUAAACUGCACACAGUUCAUAUUGGCGAUGCAUUUGGGAGUAUCUUUGUAAUCAAUUGGUCAGGAAGUUGCACACUAGCAUGCUGUCUUGGCUCUGCUCUCCCCCCCAGUGCGUGUUCCUGCUAUGGUGCAUGGCUCCGGUGACGUGGAACGGUUCUGAGAUCUUGUACAAGCGCGUCAUCCGGCCAUUCUUCUUGAAACACCAGGUGGCCAUGGACAGCGUGGUCAGCGAUCUGAGCGCCAGGGCCAAGACCAUGACUGAGUCCGUGACGCUGGAGGCUGUUAACCGGGCCCUCAACCAUAACAAGGACCAAUGAGGAGCGAGGAAAGGGUGUGUGUGUGUGUGUGUGACUGAAUGAGAUUGUGAGUGUGUUUGGCUUUGUGUGUGUGUGUGUGUGUGUGUGUGUGUGUGUCUGUCCUCUCCCACUUCCAUGAAGAAUAAAGACGAUCAACCCGGUGAAUUUGAAGCUUCGCUCUCGUGACAAUGAAUUAAAAGCUUGUGUUUGUGUGUCGACAUCAGUUUACAAUCGGGGGAACCGUGACCUUUUAUCUAUGCCAUCGUCAUUUCUUUAUUGUAGCAAAGACUUUACGUGUGUGUGUGUGUGUGUGUGUGUGUGUGUGUGUGUGUCUAAUUGUCUAAUUGAGCCAGCAAACGGAGGCCGACGACAUCACGGUUUAAAAAGCAGGUUGUCUUCAAAUGUCGUCCGCGUCCGUUUGAGCUAUUGGGAAGUUUGUGAAUGUGCAACUUUACCUGUCUCGACUUCCUCACCUUUUUGAUAUACGUCUUAAUUUAUCUUCUCGUAAACGAUUAAAUAAAACUGGAAUUUUAAUGAACUUGAAA